rnacentral:rRNA from 1 species
UACGUAGGGGGCAAGCGUUGUCCGGAGUUAUUGGGCGUAAAGAGCGUGUAGGCGGCCAGGUAGGUCUGCUGUGAAAACUCGAGGCUUAACCUCGAGCUGUCGGCGGAAACCAUCUGGCUAGAGUCCGGAAGAGGAGAAUGGAAUUCCCGGUGUAGCGGUGAAAUGCGCAGAUAUCGGGAAGAACACCCGUGGCGAAGGCGGUUCUCUGGGACGGUACUGACGCUGAGGUGCGAAAGCCAGGGGAGCGAACGGG